rnacentral:rRNA from 1 species
AUUGAACGCUGGCGGCAGGCCUAACACAUGCAAGUCGAACGGUAACAGGAAACAGCUUGCUGUUUCGCUGACGAGUGGCGGACGGGUGAGUAAUGUCUGGGAAACUGCCUGAUGGAGGGGGAUAACUACUGGAAACGGUAGCUAAUACCGCAUAACGUCGCAAGACCAAAGAGGGGGACCCUCGGGCCCCUUGCCAUCGGAUGUGCCCAGAUGGGAUUAGCUUGUUGGUGGGGUAACGGCUCACCAAGGCGACGAUCCCUAGCUGGUCUGAGAGGAUGACCAGCCACACUGGAACUGAGACACGGUCCAGACUCCUACGGGAGGCAGCAGUGGGGAAUACUGCACAAUGGGCGCAAGCCUGAUGCAGCCAUGCCGCGUGUAUGAAGAAGGCCUUCGGGUUGUAAAGUACUUUCAGCGGGGAGGAAGGGAGUAAAGUUAAUACCUUUGCUCAUUGACGUUACCCGCAGAAGAAGCACCGGCUAACUCCGUG